ACAAGUACCGUGAGGGAAAGUUGAAAAGAACUCUGAAGAGAGAGUUAAAUAGUACGUGAAACCGAUUGGGCGGAAGCGUAUAGAGUUGUCGAAAGAUGGUAGUAAUUAGUUGGUGUGCUUUGAACGGGCAUUCGUGCAAUUCAAUUAACGUUGUUUGUAUGGGUGUUGCGGUUUGAGGUAUGCUGAUGCACUUGCUGCUGUUGCGCUGAUGCGCUUGAUUGAUUAACUUGAAAUUUGGUUAGAGGGCCUUUACUUCGGUAUUGGUAUCCUGGCUUGAAUGAAUAGUUCAUAUUGGUCAAGUGUAUGUGUAUGUGAGGUGUAAGAGAUGGUUAUGCUGUAUGAAUGUUUUGUUCAAUUGCGUGCAAUUGAUCUUUGCGUUUGUGCGGUGUGGCUUGAUUGAUCGCUUUGCAUCAUCAGUGUUAAAGACAAUCACCUAUAUGUCCCGUCUUGAAACACGGACCAAGGAGUUUAUCGUAUGUGCGAGUCAUUAAGUGAUCAAAACUUAAAGGCGUAAUGAAAGUAAAGUGGUGCCUUGUGCAUUCACGAGAUGUGAUGAAUAAGGGUUUUCGGACUUCGAGUUCAGCAACAUCGUCCAAUCCGAAAUGCUUGCAUUAGGGUUGAGAUUGAGCAUAUGCGAUGAGACCCGAAAGAUGGUGAACUAUGCCUGAGCAGGAUGAAGCCGGAGGAAACUCUGGUGGAAGUCCGAAGCGGUUCUGACGUGCAAAUCGAUCGUCUGA
rnacentral:rRNA from 1 species